CUCCGGCCCGGGGAGGAAAGUCCGGGCUCCAUGGAGAGACGGUGCCGGAUAACGUCCGGCGGGGGCGACCCUAGGGACAGUGCCACAGAGAGCAGACCGCCCUGCUUGCAGGGUCAGGGUGAAAGGGUGCGGUAAGAGCGCACCGCGGACGCGGCAACGCGGACGGCACGGCAAACCCCACCGGGAGCAAAACCGAAUAGGGGCGACGCGCCGCGGUCCUUCGGGGCCGGGGCAGGCUCGUUCUCCAGGCCAGUCGCCCGGGUUGGUUGCUU
rnacentral:misc_RNA from 1 species